UCCCUGAUGGUCUAGUAGUCAGGAUUUCAGGCUUUCACUGAUGUAACCCGGGUUCAGUCCCUGGUUGGGGAA
rnacentral:tRNA from 1 species